AGAGUUUGAUCCUGGCUCAGAAUGAACGCUGGCGGCGUGCUUAACACACGCAAGUCGCACGAGAAAGGGAUUGCUUGCAAUCCUGAGUAGAGUGGCGCACGGGUGAGUAACACGUAGAUAAUCUACCUUCAAUUUUGGGAUAACCAAUCGAAAGGCUGGCUAAUACCGGAUAAAGUUGAUGUAUGAGAAUAUAUUAAUGAAAGUAUGCCUCUUCUUGAAAGCAUAUGAUUGGAGAUGAGUCUGCGGACCAUUAGCUAGUUGGUGGGGUAAGAGCCUACCAAGGCAACGAUGGUUAGCUGGUCUGAGAGGAUGAUCAGUCACACUGGAACUGGAACACGGUCCAGACUCCUACGGGAGGCAGCAGUGAGGAAUUUUGCGCAAUGGGGGAAACCCUGACGCAGCAACGCCGCGUGAGUGAAGAAGGCCUUUGGGUCGUAAAGCUCUGUCAACUGGGAAGAAAUUAUGUAUAUCUAAUAGGUGUAUGUAUUGACGGUACCAGUGGAGGAAGCGCCGGCUAACUCCGUGCCAGCAGCCGCGGUAAUACGGGGGGCGCAAGCGCUAUUCGGAAUUAUUGGGCGUAAAGGGCGUGUAGGCGGUCUUGUCGGUCAGAUGUGAGAGCCCAGGGCUCAACCCUGGACGUGCAUUUGAAACAGCAAGACUUGAGUACGGUAGAGGAAAGCGGAAUUCCUGGUGUAGAGGUGAAAUUCGUAGAUAUCAGGAGGAACACCGAUGGCGAAGGCAGCUUUCUGGACCGAAACUGACGUUGAUGCGCGAAGGCGUGGGUAGCGAACAGGAUUAGAUACCCUGGUAGUCCACGCAGUAAACGAUGUACACUAGGUGUAGGGGAUAUUAAAAUUUUCUGUGCCGCAGUUAACACAUUAAGUUCUCCGCCUGGGGAGUACGGCCGCAAGGCUAAAACUCAAAGGAAUUGACGGGGGCCCGCACAAGCGGU
rnacentral:rRNA from 1 species